UGCCGUCUAUAGGUUGAGGAGCGGCUUGAGGCCAGGGCGAGGAGUUUGGUCACGUGAGGACGAGAUGACGCAACCUAAAGAGCGACCGUGGUUGAAACCUGCACAUAAGAGAGAGGCUGGGGAUGCGGCUGAUGCGUGCGCAUUCGAAUCGUUCGGUUUAGGAAAGGGAGGAGGCCGAGGCUCGGGAGGAGGCGCGCGCGGGCGGAGGUGGCGUGCUCAUGACCGAAUGGGCGCGGGCUCAGCCAGCCUUCACCUCCGCCAUUCAUUUGUCCGUUCAAUUCUUGUCAGCAGCAAUUCAUAGAUUAUUUUCAAUGAAAACGAAAUAAUAUUAUUCUCGCCAUCAGGCGAACUCUGAAGAGGCUAGUUGUGGGUGUUGGGAUAUGAGAGGCAAAGGUGCUCUGCUGUGCUUCAUUUUUAGAUUUCCAAAGGCAGCUGAGACUCAUUCUGGCAGGUUCUGCGGCUAAGUUCUAAAGAGCCUCUGGCUGAGAUUAAGUCCUGCGGGAAGAGUAGCUUUAGCAUAUUCAGGCUAAAGGGUACAACCAUUGACACGAUUUCAGUUAUUGGGUAGACUCUUUUUUAAAAGGAAAGAAGACAUAACACAGUAAGCAAACAUUGCUACACAUCAAGACGUUGGAGACAAAGUGAUUUGCUAUCCAAAACAAAGAGAAGAUGCCAAUUUCUGCCUUUGUGCUGGUUAGUUUAGUUAUCUCAAUUGAACGCCCCUUCAACAAUAGUUAAAGGUUUCCUUUCAUUACAAUAGGACUGAAGUGCAGAUCGAGAUAUUGACAGAUAGCACAUAGUGUGGUCAUGACUGAAGAGAUUUCACCUGUCCAGUGACUUAAGCCCACUUGGCCAUUUAUUUAUCCCUGAGCUAUUUUGUAAGGGCAGUCUAAAAAUCAAACAAAUAAGUGCUGGAAAGUGUGUGACAUGUAUUUCUGUUCACAAGCAGCAUUUUUAAGUGGUGCUUCAAUCAAUGUACACCACAUAAAGCCUGCACUGACUAUAAUAUAUGUGCAUGUGGCACAGACCCCACAGAACCUUUGAGAGGCUGAAUUAACUAUAGCUCAGGUUGUUAACAGCAGUUAAAAACGGCACAUAAGUGACCUCAGGAGGAGGAGAAAAAAUGAAUGAGGGAACCAAGAUAAAAUAAGACUUUUACAGUACUGCCCCCCCAAACCCUUUACCAUGAAGAAAAAUUAAAGAGCACCAUUUCCCAUGGGAUACAGAAACAGUGCAUGGAUGGUGUCUGUGCCUCCCUUCCUCUAGAUUUCCAUAGGAGAGUUAAUAGUAUGUAGCAAGUGUGGCCGAGGAAAGAUCUGUGCUUAUUUUUCCAGUUUUUAUAAGGAAGUUACUAAUAGGGCCUGGGCAAACAUCAAUUCCAGUGCUUCAGAGAAAAUCAAGCCUGUUUCUCACUGUGUCAAGAACAUGGAAGUACAAGUGGGUCUGACAGAGCUAAAAGUGAAAGGAGUGGAAGUGAUAGGAGCUGAUAAUCCAGAAGUGAAAGAUGGCAACUGAGAAAAGGGAACUGUCAGGAUUGGAGAAGUGGAACUGGAGGACAAAGAAGAUAUACUCUGUUACGAUCUCUUGGUGAUGAGAACAAGCUCUCUCAGAGCUUAGCAACAGCAUUCCUGCUGUGUCACUUGAUGACUCGUAAGUCAGAACAAAGAAUCUCACACUUCAGUGUUCAUGGCCUCUUAGCAGUUCCAUACAAUGCCAACCCAGAGACCCUUCACCCCCACAGACUCAUUCCCAGACCCUGUUGAGAGUCAUUGCUCAAAUUUAAGAAAAUCUGAGAAGUGCUUCCUUGGUUGUUUGCGGGGUUCUCACUGUAGUGCUCUAAUCUCCAUACACAGCCAACAGAAUCAAGAGCUAAUAGAAUCAAGAUCCCACUGCAUUCAAGAUGGAGCCUGUGGUGUAUUUAAACUCUCAGUCUGCAGUUGGUUAUUGCUAGUGCAAGUCCUGCUGACCUAGCUCCUGAACCUUUCUCCGCCUCCAGAUCUCUGGAACUAACCUGCCUUCCUUGUACAGUACUGUCUUUGGGCCUUGCGUAGGUCUUUCAUAGAUAGGCCUUCUGGCUUCUUUUGUCCCACAGCCCUGGAAAUUUAUUUAUUUGUUUAUUUAUUUAUCUAUUUAUUUAUUUAUUUUAUCAAAUUUGUAUAUUGCCCCAAACUUUUGUCUCUGGGUGGUUUACAAUGGCAACUGAGAAAAGGGAACUGUCAAAAUUGGAGAAGAAAUUGUCUCAGAACUCUCUACAGUCCACAAAGGAGCUGUUCAUUGAAGUCAUUCUGAACUGCCUUGGCUCACUGCUUCCAAGGAUGCUACUACUGAGAAUCAUUAACUCCAUGAUCAAUAGUACUGAGGAAGGAGGUAUUUUACUCAAUGCAUCUCUAGAGCCUCUCUGCGAUUCUGUUCUGCAAGGUCUUCAUAUUGAGCUCUCAUGUCAUUCAGCAGCUUGGUCAGGUCUACUCCUGGGGCGGCAUUCAUUUCCACAGUGACAUCACCCGUACAGCUACUUUUCAGUAAGAAUGAAUUAUCAGGUUUUCAUGCUUGCUUAGACUUUCUCUUCAACUUCCUUAACUUGGGAUGAAACUACUUUGCCAUCCACCACCUCUUCAACAAUUGUCUUGAUCUUUCUGGUUUUGCUUGGAUCUAAACAGGAAAAAAUGAAGGACCUUCAAGGCAAUUUAGAUGUGUUGCUGCCCCAAGGAGUUUACAAUCUAAAUGAUGACAGUGAGAGAUGAUCUGUGUAAUCCUUCCCCAGUUCUCUGAGGUCAGCUCUAGUCAAGGUCAGCUCAUCCAGGACUCUGCGCAGGCCAUUAAUGUCAGCCUCAACACUCUGGCGAAGAGCCACUUCAUUCUCAAAUCUAAGAACAACACAAAUUUAAAGCUUGCUGCAAGGCCUGUGUCUCCAUCUGAUAACUCAGGUUUUCUGCUUAAAGAACAACAUCUGAUUAAAGGACAUUUAGGAGGGGAUGUAUCUGACUUUACAAACUACAUUUUCUCUACAACCAGUAUUUGUAUACAGAAGAAAGUUUGAACACUCAAGAACACUCAUUCACACUCACAUAUGAAUUACACACAGUCUGCUUCUGACUUUUCUUCUUUAACUAUUAUUUCUGCAUAGAUCAGGAUGUCACUAUUAGUUCUGCAUAAAACAAUAGAAGCUAUUAUUUCUGCAAAACAGUGGUCUUUUCAUGGAUGUCUUUUCAUUUUUUAAAAAUGUAUCUAAUACUGAAUGUUUGCUUUGUCCUCCCAAUUCUGUUUCUGUCCCUUUAUCUUUUCUUUUUUAUUUGUGGUAAUUGAUUUUUGAGUUCAGGCAUGCCCUAUCUCAUUCUGUGGAAAGCUGCCAUUUAAAAGUAAGUUCAGUUGUUGUACUAGGAGAUUACUGUUAAUUAAGCAGUACAGUAAUGUGAUAAUAAAUAAACAAAGAGGUAGGAAUUAAGUUUUUUGUAUAUUGACAAGUUCAGUUUUCACUGGCCAACUGCACUUACUUCAGCCUGAAAUCAUCAGCUGCCAGCCUCGCAUUGUCAAUCUGAAGAACAAUCCGGGCAUUCUCAAUAGUUGCAUGGAUGAUCUGAAAACAAGGAGAAUAUUUCUAGAGAACACAGCUUUAGCCUAAUAACUAUUUGUCCACUAUAAUUAGUAUUUCAUUAGUACUAAUAAAUAUGUACAAAUAAAACAAAGAUCCCCCUCCCCCACAAAAAAUAGCAUCUGUCUUCAAGACUAUAAAUCUCACUUAUUCCUGUUUAAAAUUGUAUCCUUCCAUAUAUCCAAUGGUAAAUAGAAACAUGGUUGGUUCUUAAGGGGUGUGUUAGAGUGCCAGAUAGUGUUGAUUUUCAUCUCUCCCUGUUGUAUCAUUGGCUUACCCUGUCUGUGUACUGCUAAAAACACCAGUCUGUAGGCUAACCAGUGAUUUUAAUUUUUGCUUUUGGAAAAUAAUUGCAAUGACUUUAAAUCGUGUCAGUAUAUGCAAGCUGGAUUUUAUUAUCAAAUAUGCUGCCAAACAUUGAAACAUGUUUGUUUUUAAAAAUGGAAAAUAAAUGUUUAGCCUUG